CAAAGAGAAGCAAUACCGUGAGGUGGAGCAAAACUCAAAAAAUGAUCUCAGUUCGGACUGUAGGCUGCAACUCGCCUACACGAAGUUGGAAUUGCUAGUAAUCGUGGAUCAGCAUGCCACGGUGAAUACGUUCCCGGGUCUUGUACACACCGCCCGUCACACCAUGGGAGCUGGUAACACCCGAAGUCAGUAGUCUAACCGCAAGGAGGACGCUGCCGAAGGUGGGAUUAGCGACUGGGGUGAAGUCGUAACAAGGUAAC
rnacentral:rRNA from 1 species